UGCCCAGGGACUCCUAUCCCUACCUCCACGUGCCACCGGCCGGCCGCGCUACGAGCUACCUUAGGAAAAAUCGGGUAACCAACCCCGGUAUUGGUCAUAAGCUGACAGGGAAGG
rnacentral:ribozyme from 1 species